GACGAACGCUGGCGGCGUGCCUAAUACAUGCAAGUAGAACGCAGUGUCGAACGGGUGAGUAACGCGUAGGUAACUGCCUGGUACCGGGGGAUAACUAUUUGGAACGAUAGUUAAUACCCCGUACUACCAGAUGGACCUGCGUUGUAUUAGUUAGUUGGUGAGGUAACGGCUCACCCAGGCAAAGAUAUAUAGCCGACCUGGGAGGGGGGUUGGCCACACGGGGUAUGGGACACGGCCCAGCAUUCUACGGGAGGCAGCAGUUGGGAAACUUCGGGAAUGGGGGGAAACCUGACCGGGCAACGCCGCGUGAGUGAAGAAGGUUUUCGGGUCGUAAAGCCCUGUUGUUAAGAAAGCGGUACUUAACCAGAAAGGGACGGCUAACUACGUGCCAGCAGCCGCGGUAAUAC
rnacentral:rRNA from 1 species